UGGGGAAUAUUGGACAAUGGGCGCAAGCCUGAUCCAGCCAUGCCGCGUGAGUGAUGAAGGCCCUAGGGUUGUAAAGCUCUUUUGUGCGGGAAGAUAAUGACGGUACCGCAAGAAUAAGCCCCGGCUAACUUCGUGCCAGCAGCCGCGGUAAUACGAAGGGGGCUAGCGUUGCUCGGAAUCACUGGGCGUAAAGGGUGCGUAGGCGGGUCUUUAAGUCAGGGGUGAAAUCCUGGAGCUCAACUCCAGAACUGCCUUUGAUACUGAAGAUCUUGAGUUCGGGAGAGGUGAGUGGAACUGCGAGUGUAGAGGUGAAAUUCGUAGAUAUUCGCAAGAACACCAGUGGCGAAGGCGGCUCACUGGCCCGAUACUGACGCUGAGGCACGAAAGCGUGGGGAGCAAACA
rnacentral:rRNA from 2 species